rnacentral:lncRNA from 1 species
CAGCACCGCCGGGCGCCCGUCGGGCUCUGGGCGAGAGAGAGAAAUCCGGUUAAAAUCAGAGUCGGAGGGAGGUUUAACCACAGAUCGGUUCCGAUCGGAUUAUUCCUUAAAGGGGACGCGCCAUUGUCAAGAGAACGGAGCCUUGGGCUCGAGGGCGGGGACCGGCGGCGCCUGAGGAUCGAGGCAGCUGCACUUGGACUGGGGACGGGUAGGCGCCGGGAUGCCUGCCGAUCGGCAGCCACAACCCUGGCGGGAGACUAGGUCGCCGGCGCUCUCCCGCUGCCCUUCCUGAUAGGAGCUCGAGGGGGAGGCGGGCCAGGAUGGCAAGCUGCGCGGCCCGGGCCAAGACUCCUAACGGACGCUAAACCGCGGCGCAGCCCCCGCCUCAACCGAAAACCCGCCGGAGGAGCAGCGGGUCCUUGGGGAGCGCCGCGCGCCUCGCUCCCCCGCGCGCGCCGCUUCCUUGCGCGCCUCCUUCUCGCGCGCCCCAUUCUGCUAGCGCGCGCCGCGUCCUCGCGGGAGCCGCCCCACCAGGAGGAAGGCGGUGGCGGCGAGGAGGAGGGAGGUCGGCGCCCACUGCUUCACCGCUCGGGGCGGAGAAGGGAGGGCUAAGGAGCAAACUUAGCGCGGCAGCUGGCGGCCUUGGGCGAGAAGGGAGCGCGCGGAGUCACCAGCCCGGCCCAGCAUUGUCAGUCUUUUCCUUUGCUCUCGUCACUCCGCCCACUGUUUGCGAUCGUGGGGAGGGGUGAGAACUCGGGUGCCGUGCCACCCCGCUCCUGGUCGGCGAGCACCCCCAGACCCCGAGACUGGCCGGAGCAGAGGUCGGCCCCACGGACGCCGCAGCCACCGCCCGCGGGCCGUCGGGGCCUGUGAGUGCCUUUGCUGCUCUCAGUCUCCGCACUGGCGUCGCCUGUCUGGGCGCUGAGCUCUUCUUUGCAACUUUUCUUUGGCGAUUGAUGGAAGUUGUGGCUUCCGGGCGACAGGUUCUUUGGGCAUAACCUCAUUUCUUGCGUCUUGGAGAGGCAGAUUUCUAGGGUGAAAUGGUUCUUGAUCGCUGCCUCCCCCCUCAGUUUCAUUCCUCUUCACCUAAAAUCGCUACCCUAGUGGAUUUGCAAUUGUAAGGGGGCAUUAACCUCUCUCAGGUCAAGAUAAUUUGAGACCAAAAAAAAAAAGAGGGGUGCUGAUGAGGAGCCAGAGCUCUGCCUAGAGCUGAAUUUGCCUUAACCUUUGAACUAUAGAAAGUAUUGCCUCUACUUACUGGCGGAGCUUCUUUCCGAAGAAAGAAAACUGCAAAACAGAACGAAACAAAAAACUCCAAGUUGCUAGGGUCUAUCGAAUUAGGGGGAAAAAAAUAGACUUUUGAUAGAAAUAAAGUUAGUUUUGUAACAGUUCUGCCUAGCAGCUAUCUCCCAUUAAGUUAAUUUCUGCUACUGAAUCUUUAGGCAUUAUACUAAGUAACAGCAACUUUUACUAUUGAUAAAAUGAAUGUAAGGUUCCCCCCCCCCCCCCCCGUCUUGAGCAUUAGUGCUAUGCUGUACCUGUCAACGCUUGCUAAAGAAAUUAGAAACAACGCAUCCUUGUUAAAGACCUUAUUUAGAAAAGGAAUGUUUUCAUGAGCAUUCAUUUUUGACAGUUUCUUCUUGUGCAAUACUUUGUAGAGUACUUGCAUGUGCAAGUUACAAGCCUAUAAACAAAGUUGCAGUGGGUGUGUUAUUUUGUGGUCUUUUUUGGCUACUCAUUAUCAAAGACAGCAUUCCAUCCUAUCUUCUCUUGCAUUCUGAGUUAUUUUGUAAAAUUACUUCUUUAGAAAAGUACAUUUUGCUGGAAACGCCAGUCCAAUUUUUUUUUUUUUUAAAGCAAUACUAACAACUUCCCAAAGUGUUCAUUGAUUAACUUUUUGGUAACUUUAAGAGUGGUGUGGAGCAGUAUAAAUUAAGUUCACGGGAAUAAAAAUAGAGGAGAAACUACUCAGGAAACUAAAAGCCAAUUUCAGAUAAUAAUACUUGAGAGAUGCUUCACUCUUCCCAUAGAAUUUAGGAAGUGUAGACACACAAAAACAUGAUCUCUUGUAGUAAUCUUGGUAUCUGGCAUAGUUACACCUAAUAUUCUCUUUCCUCAUCUUGUCUUUGAACCUCCUCUUUGAUAAGAAUGUCAGGCAACAUUGCAGGCAAAAUCCUCCUUUCCAUCUCAUGAUAGAAAGUAGAAGAUUAAAACAAUUUUCCAAAUUUCUCUUUUUGUUUACUUUCCAGCGUAUUUAAACAAUAGAGGAGAGAAUUCCUGGACUUUUAAAAGAUCACAUAUAAAGCAAACACUCAGAAAGAAUUAUCUUUGAAAUAUCCAGGCUGUGUUUCCUGGAAAACAUAUUUUUUCCUGCGUGCUUCUUACAUUGUUUUAAACACAUUGUCUUAAAUAUACACAUUGCCAAGGCAUUUCUUCAAUUGUGAACUGUCCCUUGAGAUCCCUGGGAACUAGAACCGUCCCCUAUUUCUGUGAAAAUUCAGUGGGUCACCUGGUACAUUUCGAGUACCCAAUCAAUGUGUUGACUUAGGUCUUUGUAACAGCACAAGGUAAUGUUCUAUAGAAGCUGCUAGAGAGGAUUAUUUUUUAAAUAAACACCUUUCUGAACAAGUUACACCAGAGAACCACAAUGGUGUAGUGUCUGGGGAAAGAUGUGUUAAUCCAGGUGCUUUUUGUUCUGUC